GUUUUAAUAGUUUAAAAAAAAAUAUUAAUUUUGUAAAUUAAAGUUAGAUAAUCUUUAGAACU
rnacentral:tRNA from 1 species